rnacentral:rRNA from 1 species
AAAGCGCGCGUAGGCGGGUCGGUUAGUCGAUUGUGAAAGCCCUGGGCUCAACCUAGGAAUGGCAGUCGAAACUACCGAUCUUGAGUGCCUGAGAGGAUGGCGGAAUUCCCGGUGUAGUAGUGAAAUACGUAGAUAUCGGGAAGAACACCUGAGGCGAAGGCGGCUAUCUGGCGGUGCACUGACGCUAAGGCGCGAAAGCGUGGGGAGCAAACAGGAUUAGAUACCCCGGU